AUUGAACGCUGGCGGCAUGCUUUACACAUGCAAGUCGAACGGCAGCGCGGGCUUCGGCCUGGCGGCGAGUGGCGAACGGGUGAGUAAUACAUCGGAACGUGCCCAGUAGUGGGGGAUAGCUCGGCGAAAGCCGGAUUAAUACCGCAUACGACCUGAGGGUGAAAGCGGGGGAUCUUCGGACCUAGCGCUAUUGGAGCGGCCGAUGGCAGAUUAGCUAGUUGGUGGGGUAAAGGCCUACCAAGGCGACGAUCUGUAGCUGGUCUGAGAGGACGACCAGCCACACUGGGACUGAGACACGGCCCAGACUCCUACGGGAGGCAGCAGUGGGGAAUGUUGGACAAUGGGCGAAAGCCUGAUCCAGCAAUGCCGCGUGAGUGAUGAAGGCCUUCGGGUUGUAAAGCACUUUUGGCGGGAACGAAAAGGAAUGUGCCAAUACCACGGUUCGAUGACGGUACCAGAAGAAUAAGCACCGGCUAACUACGUG
rnacentral:rRNA from 1 species